rnacentral:misc_RNA from 1 species
GCAAACUUGGUCAUUUAGAGGAAGUACAAGUCGUAACAAGGUUUCCGUAGGUGAACCUGCGGAAGGAUCAUUAACAAAUCGAGAUUGGUGUUGGAGGGGGGGGUUGGGCUAUGGUAUUGCGUAAUAAUAUGCAAUGUUGUAACUAUAUCAUCCCACCCAUAUCGACACCUAACAUUUGUGCUCCAGCAUUUGUCUGGGUGCAUCAUAUAUAUUCAUUAUUGUCAGUUGUUCUUGUUCAUUUUAAAUUACAUCAUACUUUUAACAAUGGAUCUCUUGGCUCUUGCAUCGAUGAAGAACGCAGC